rnacentral:tRNA from 1 species
ACCUGGCUGACUCAGUCAGUAGGGUGUGUGACUCUUGAUCUCAGAGUUGUGAGUUCAAAUCCCACAUUGGGUG